GACAGAGGUGCCAAGCGUUAGGCGGAAUCACUGGGCUUAAAGCGUGUGUAGGCGGAUGUCUAAGUACCUUGUGAAAUCCCACGGCUCAACCGUGGAACUGCUUGGUAUACUGGAUGUCUUGAGCCAUCUAGGGGCUACCGGAACAAAUGGUGGAGCGGUGAAAUGCGUAGAUAUCAUUUGGAACGCCAAUGGUGAAAACAGGUAGCUGGGGGAUGUGCUGACGCUGGAGACACGAAAGCCAGGGGAGCAAACGGG
rnacentral:rRNA from 1 species